rnacentral:sRNA from 2 species
UUCGCCUGUCGUUUAUGAGGAUGAGCACCUCCGCAGGAGGUUCGAGCCUCGCGAAGCGAGACAACGUUGCUUCAGCAACGGCCCGCAGGGCGCGCAUCAACGAUGCGCGUAAUCCUCUCUCGCCGACCA